GCUGUUAUGGUAUGUCCCAAAUACUUGUUUCUUUCUGUGCCUGUUCUGUUGUGUUUGUGUUGCUGCUAUUUUCUUAAGUGCCUGUAAUACAAGAAUCAGUCCUAAUUUGCGUAUGAAGAUUGUACAGCACAAGGAUUUUAAAAAGGAAGCAGGUAUCAGUAGUUUGGAAACAGAAGUGAUGUGUUUUGAGAACCCAUGCCUGUGAUGUUUGUCAGGGGAUAACUGACUAAAAUCAGUGCUUGUUGAGAUGCUUAUAUUUCCUACAAGGUCUCUUCUCUGCCGAAGUGAAAGAAUAAACAAACUUAUGCAUUAGUGCAGGAUUCUGAAGGAUCA